rnacentral:rRNA from 1 species
GACAGAGGCCUCAAGCGUUAGGCGGAAUCACUGGGCUUAAAGCGUGUGUAGGCGGGUCGUUAAGUACCUUGUGAAAUCCCACGGCUCACCCGUGGAACUGCUGGGUAUACUGGCGAUCUUGGGCCAACUAGGGGCAACUGGAACAAGCGGUGGAGCGGUGAAAUGCGUAGAUAUCGCUUGGAACGCCAAAGGUGAAAACAGGUUGCUGGGGUUGUGCCGACGCGU